rnacentral:lncRNA from 1 species
GCGUUUCCUCUCAACUUUUCUUUCUCCCCCUAAUAUUCUGCCGACGCAUUUCCGGCAAACUUCUCCCCCUUUCUUUCCGUGGCAAUUAAGAAUUGGCAUUGAUAGCCAUAUGGUGGAAGGUGUAUUCGAGAUCGGUUCUUACAGUGCAGUAAGAAUUCGAUAAUAGAGAUCUGGGCUGUUUUAUCCUGGGGACGGCGUGGUUGAUAGUCUGCUUGCACAUUUUGGGCAGUGCCACAAAAUGUCUUAAAGAGAGCGACCUGGUCGUGACUCAGCCAGUAAGUAUUAUUUCGUGCCAUUUAGAAUUGUUACAAGCUACGGUUACAACAAUAAUUAACUAUAAAUUCUUAUAUAGUAAUCAAUAUAUGGAAAACAUGAAAGUAGCCAUUCAGUCAUUGUGUCAAUAGCUAUCUAGAAAAACAUUAGGAAGCAUCAAAUGCUUCACUGCAUGGAAUUCCCAUAUCAGAGCUUUAUUUGUGUAGUGUUUCCUCUUUAACUAGGCCUAUAUUUUCUAUAUUACUUUCUUCCUAGCUACUACAUUUUCAUAUCCUCUUAAUUACAUUGAACCUUCAUAAUGAAAAGCAAUUUAAAAGGUGAACACAUGUCAGCCUUCAACUACCAUGCUUAGCAAGGACCCCAUUACAUUUUCAUAUCUUCUAGCACUUUACAGUUGAUAAAUUUGAAUUUCUUAUGAAUUGACAUUCAAUUUUAAACACGUUCAAAUGUUGCCCAUAUUUGACCAAUUAUAGCAAUCCCAGAAAAUCAAUUUUGCUGGCAAGAACCACGAAAAUGAUAAUUAAAGAAUGAAAAAAGAGACAGAAUCUAGAGUUGUGUGGACCACUAUUCUCCAAUGCCUUUGGUAAUAUAUCCACACCUUACAUGCAAAAAGGAAAUAUGCUUACAUUACUCUCAAAACUACCAAAGCAAUCUAUUAUUUAAAGAUAUUAUUUUGUGAAGCACAAAGUAACCGAAAGAGAAAACGUUACAAUAUUUGCAUGUACCAUGUCAUGAAGGAAAAUGAUAUAUCCUCCUACUAAUCCUCAUACCCACAAAAAGAUGACAUGUGUCACAAUAAGAUAUUUUAAUUAUUAAUGAUUGGAUUACAAGUGACAUGUGUUAUUUUUUUGUAGAUAAGAGGAUUAAUAGGAGGAUAUAACAAUGCUGAACCAUGAAGAUUGCAGAAGAGGAGGUAGGUGGUAGUUUGCAGUAUUGUUUGUAUAUAACUAAAUAAAAUAAAAAAGAUGGGUUUCUUCACUGUGGAAAACCUUUAACUUUUUUUUUCAAUGACAGAGAAAACCUUUUUAUCUUUGAAAUGAACAAAAUGCUCCAAAAUAUGGUUAGUGGUGGCUGAUUUAAUGCUCAUAACACUCUAUGUGUAACAAGUGUUUUUAAUGCUAAUAAUCAUAAAAAAUAUACGUAAUUUUAUAACACUUUGUGUAGUCAGGGUUGUUGAUUUUGGGAUUCACAUAUUUAAAAACGUUUCUUUGUAGCAAACACUUGCU